GGUGGUUCUGAAUGGAAGGGCCAUCGCUCAACGGAUAAAAGGUACUCCGGGGAUAACAGGCUGAUACCGCCCAAGAGUUCAUAUCGACGGCGGUGUUUGGCACCUCGAUGUCGGCUCAUCACAUCCUGGGGCUGAAGUAGGUCCCAAGGGUAUGGCUGUUCGCCAUUUAAAGUGGUACGCGAGCUGGGUUUAGAACGUCGUGAGACAGUUCGGUCCCUAUCUGCCGUGGGCGCUGGAGAAUUGAGGGGGGCUGCUCCUAGUACGAGAGGACCGGAGUGGACGCAUCACUGGUGUUCGGGUUGUCAUGCCAAUGGCACUGCCCGGUAGCUAAAUGCGGAAGAGAUAAGUGCUGAAAGCAUCUAAGCACGAAACUUGCCCCGAGAUGAGUUCUCCCUGAGACUU
rnacentral:rRNA from 1 species